CAAGAUGGCACAUCUAGACCAGUCCCACCUACCAGCAUUAGGCUUAUAUCCCUCUACACCCUUCUUAUGCAUUUAUCU